rnacentral:rRNA from 1 species
UACGGAGGGUGCAAACGUUGCUCGGAAUCACUGGGCGUAAAGCGCACGUAGGCGGCUUGUUAAGUCAGGGGUGAAAUCCUGGAGCUCAACUCCAGAACUGCCUUUGAUACUGGCGAGCUUGAGUUCGGGAGAGGUGAGUGGAACUGCGAGUGUAGAGGUGAAAUUCGUAGAUAUUCGCAAGAACACCAGUGGCGAAGGCGGCUCACUGGCCCGAUACUGACGCUGAGGUGCGAAAGCGUGGGGAGCAAACAGG